rnacentral:rRNA from 1 species
GAUGAACGCUGGCGGCAUGCCUAAGACAUGCAAGUCGAACGAGGUGUACUUUGGAAUUGGAAGUGCUUGCACGGAAGAGGAAGAAGAAUCGCACCUAGUGGCAGACGGGUGAGUAACGCGUGGGUAAUCUACCCAACAGACUGGGAUAACUAUUGGAAACGAUAGCUAAUACCGGAUGAGACUAGAUACAAAAGUAUCAAAGUUAAAAGGAGCUACGGCUUCACUGUUGGAUGAGCUUGCGUUGUAUUAGCUAGUUGGUGGGGUAAGAGCCUACCAAGGCAACGAUGCAUAUUCGAGCUGAGAGGCUGAUCGGGACACACUGGGACUGAGACACGGGCCCAGACUCCUACGGGAGACAGCAGUUAGGAAUAUUCGUCAAUGGGGAAACCCUGAACGAGCAAUGCCGCGUGAUUGAAGAAGGCCUUAUAGGUCGUAAAGAUCUGUUGUAAAAGGAAGAAACACUUUAACUAUAGGGAAUGAUAGUAAAGCUGACGGUA